UACGUAGGGUGCAAGCGUUGUCCGGAAUUAUUGGGCGUAAAGAGCUCGUAGGCGGUUUGUCGCGUCUGCUGUGAAAACUCGGGGCUUAACCCCGGGCCUGCAGUGGGUACGGGCAGACUAGAGUGCGGUAGGGGAGACUGGAAUUCCUGGUGUAGCGGUGGAAUGCGCAGAUAUCAGGAAGAACACCGAUGGCGAAGGCAGUUCUCUGGGCCGUAACUGACGCUGAGGAGCGAAAGCGUGGGGAGCGAACAGG
rnacentral:rRNA from 1 species